rnacentral:misc_RNA from 1 species
AAGGAGAAUUACCUACUGUUUAAUUUUGAGGGUUCGUUUUUACGAAUACUCAAAAUUAGCACUUUAAGCAACAGAAUAAACUGAACGCAUGUGAAGUUUGUUUGUUGGCGCUGUGCGUUAGCACUUUAAGCAACGGGAUUUAUCCGUUGGCGCUGUGCGUUAGCACUUUAAGCAACGGAAUUUAUUCGUUGGCGACGUGCUUUAGCACUUUGAAAACUGCAUAUAUAUUUAGUGAUAUGACAUCUAAUUUGUAAUAUAUAAAGCUGAUAACUUUUAAAAAUUAUCAAGUUGAUAGACUUUAAUCUAUCAAACCUUUUUAAC